rnacentral:rRNA from 1 species
UACGGGGGGGGUAAGCGUUGUUCGGAAUUACUGGGCGUAAAGGGCUCGUAGGCGGCCAACUAAGUCAUACGUGAAAUCCCUCAGCUUAACUGGGGAACUGCGUGUGAUACUGGAUGGCUUGGAUUUGGGAGAGGGAUGCGGAAUUCCAGGUGUAGCGGUGAAAUGCGCAGAUAUCGGGAGAAACACCAGUAGCGAAGGCGGCUCGCUGGGCCGUUCCUGACGCUGAGACGCGAAAGCUAGGGGAGCGAACAGG